rnacentral:rRNA from 1 species
CCUACGGGAGGCAGCAGUGGGGAAUAUUGGACAAUGGGCGAAAGCCUGAUCCAGCCAUGCCGCGUGUGUGAAGAAGGCCUUCGGGUUGUAAAGCACUUUCAUUGGGGAAGAAAGCCUUGGGGCUAAUACCCUCGAGGAAGGACAUCACCCACAGAAGAAGCACCGGCUAACUCCGUGCCAGCAGCCGCGGUAAUACGGAGGGUGCGAGCGUUAAUCGGAAUUACUGGGCGUAAAGCGCGCGUAGGCGGUCUGAUAAGCCGGUUGUGAAAGCCCCGGGCUCAACCUGGGAACGGCAUCCGGAACUGUCAGGCUAGAGUGCAGGAGAGGAAGGUAGAAUUCCCGGUGUAGCGGUGAAAUGCGUAGAGAUCGGGAGGAAUACCAGUGGCGAAGGCGGCCUUCUGGACUGACACUGACGCUGAGGUGCGAAAGCGUGGGUAGCAAACAGGAUUAGAUACCCUAGUAGUC